rnacentral:rRNA from 1 species
GAUGAACGCUGGCGGCGUGCCUAAUACAUGCAAGUCGAGCGAACGGACGAGAAGCUUGCUUUUCUGAUGUUAGCGGCGGACGGGUGAGUAACACGUGGAUAACCUACCUAUAAGACUGGGAUAACUUCGGGAAGCCGGAGCUAAUACCGGAUAAUAUUUUGAACCGCAUGAUUCAAAAGUGAAAGACGGUCUUGCUGUCACUUAUAGAUGGAUCCGCGCUGCAUUAGCUAGUUGGUAAGGUAACGGCUUACCAAGGCAACGAUGCAUAGCCGACCUGAGAGGGUGAUCGGCCACACUGGAACUGAGACACGGUCCAGACUCCUACGGGAGGCAGCAGUAGGGAAUCUUCCGCAAUGGGCGAAAGCCUGACGGAGCAACGCCGCGUGAGUGAUGAAGGUCUUCGGAUCGUAAAACUCUGUUAUUAGGGAAGAACAUAUGUGUAAGUAACUGUGCACAUCUUGACGGUACCUAAUCAGAAAGCCACGGCUAACUACGUG